AGAUUGAACGCUGGCGGCAGGCCUAACACAUGCAAGUCGAGCGGCAGCACGGGUACUUGUACCUGGUGGCGAGCGGCGGACGGGUGAGUAAUGCCUAGGAAUCUGCCUGGUAGUGGGGGAUAACGCUCGGAAACGGACGCUAAUACCGCAUACGUCCUACGGGAGAAAGCAGGGGACCUUCGGGCCUUGCGCUACCAGAUGAGCCUAGGUCGGAUUAGCUAGUUGGUGAGGUAAUGGCUCACCAAGGCGACGAUCCGUAACUGGUCUGAGAGGAUGAUCAGUCACACUGGAACUGAGACACGGUCCAGACUCCUACGGGAGGCAGCAGUGGGGAAUAUUGGACAAUGGGCGAAAGCCUGAUCCAGCCAUGCCGCGUGUGUGAAGAAGGUCUUCGGAUUGAAAGCACUUUAAGUGGAGGAAGGCAGUUACCUAAUACGUAUCUGUUUGACGUUACCGACAGAAUAAGCACCGGCUAACUCUGUGCCAGCACG
rnacentral:rRNA from 1 species